AGUUGCCUAGGAAACCGUAACCAUUAAGUAUGAUGUUAGCUGUAGGUUGUCGAUGUCCUUUAUCACAUUUAGAAAGUCCCCUUCUAUUCCUAGUUUGCUGAGAGUUUUUAUCAUAAAUUUUGACAAGUGCUUUUUCUGUAUCUAUGGGGAUGAUCAUAUGCUGGUUUGUUGGGUUUUUUUUCUUUUCUUUUUUUUUUUCUGGCCUUUAUCCUGUUAAUGUAGUGAAUUAUAUUACUUUAUUUUUGACCCUGAAGUCAUUUGUGGAGUAAACCCUGCAUUUCUGGAGUAAACCCCACUUGGUCAUGACUUAUCCUUUUAUAUAUUGCUUGAUUAUAUAUGGCUAAUACUCGGUAAUGGGAUUUUAUAUUAUGUUCAUGAGGGAUAUUGGUCUAUAACUGCCUUUCUUAUAGCAUCCUUGCUAUGUAUUGAUUUAAAUUCCUGUUCAUUUUUCAGUCCAUUUCUGGAUUUUAUAUUCUAUUCUCUUCCAUGAAUCAUUGCCUUUCUUAUCUUACUAUUGUUAACGGGUGGAUUGUUGGGUAUUUAGGAAUUGGGUUAUUUCCCAUGUCCUGUUAUUACAGACAACGCUGCAAUGAACAGUAUUUCGGCUAGAUCUUUUCCGACUCCUUGAUUAUACCCUUAGUAUAAAUCCUUAGAAGUUGAGUAACUGGGCCAAUGCAGAGAUGGAAGCAGAGUAGUGUACAAGUGCUUUCUUCCUCCGUGCCUUCCAGGGGCCCCUUCCAUCCCACUCAUGCGUCCCGUUGAUGGAACCUAAGCGGAAGCAAAAUGGCAUAGAAAUGUGGAAAAGUCCUUGGCAGGAUCCAGCUCCCACUGAGACAGAGCAGCAGGGCUGGGAUCGAGGACAUUGGAUCUGCGCAGCUGUAAGGAGCCCUGUCCUUAGAGAAGCCCUUUGCUGUCAGUGUCUUGAAAUUCAUAAUCCUUUCUGAGCAAGGGGUCUUGCGUUUUCACAUUGCUCUGGCCCUGCAGAUGAUGUGGUCGGUCCUGCCGAGCCGAGCACGGAGGGACCAGAACGGAGCUGAGCGGAAAAUGCCAGGGCUGCUCUGUUACCAAAUGGUUCCUCACAAAGUUUAUGCCAAUUUGAAUUACUUCCCAAUGUAGGGAGUUGCCUGGGAAACCACAAAUUCGUUAUGGUGCUGAUAGGGAAGUGCUUAAGGGUCCCCCUCGACAGUCUCCAGCAGUAGCAAAAGCAAGAGCAGAGAAGUCAACGAAUUGGUUCCUUGCUCUUCCAACUCAGGGAGUCUGACUAGAAACCCUCCCUGUGCUCCAAUGUGUCACCCACCCUUCACCCUUAAAGAAGAAAACAGAUCUGACUGGUGACACGAUGGCCUCUACUCCCUUGGGACUUGGACACCAGCCAUGUUGCCAUGUUGAUUCUAGUCUGUCAAGUGGGCCAAGACGGCUGCAGCUUCCUUGAUCUAGGGCUGUGUUGGACGGUUAGCAUAGGGGGAACUCGUGAAGGACUCCAAGACUACAGCUUUCUGAGGCCCAGCCUCCUGAAAUGGAAAAUACCAACAAUGGAAAACACCAGGAUUCUGUAUUUAACAAAAUCACCGCAGGUUGCCUGGUGCUGGUUUAGAAACCAUGGCUUAGGUGGAACCCCUCCAAGAGCACGGAGCAGGAGGCACGCUCCGCAGCUGCUGAGGAGACAGAUGUGCACUGUAAAUAAAUGGGCCACGGAGGAGAAAAGCGCCCCCCUUCAGAGCUGUUGAGCUGGGGAGAGGUGCUGGGAAAGCCUGGAGUCUGUUUUUGCCAGUAAGUCCUUGAGUUUAGGUAUGGAAGCUGGAAAAAGCCCCGACUGGAGCAGGGGCUCAGCAGAGUCAGCUGUGUGACCUUGGGCAAGCCAUGCCCCAUCUCCUGGCCUCAGUUUCCCAUCUGUAAAAUGGGAGUGCAGGCUGGUUGAUCUCUAAGGUGUUUCUACGACACCUGGGCACUUACCUACCAUCCUUUUUGAUGGGGACGUGCUGCAAUUCUAAGUGUGCUCCUUUAUCUUAAUGUUUUCAUAGAAUGCUUUACAGACCCAGUGCUUGUCGCAUGGAACCUGUUCUAGUCACAUCAUUCCCCCUCCCGCCCUCAAGCUGUGUGACUACCCACAGCACUCAGAGCAUUCUGAGAAGAUUCUUGGGCUGGAAAAGCAACUUCCAAGAAGGUGAGAUCUAGGGA